rnacentral:rRNA from 1 species
GAAAAGCCCCCGGCUUAACCGGGGAGGGUCAUUGGAAACUGGGAAACUUGAGUGCAGAAGAGGAGAGUGGAAUUCCACGUGUAGCGGUGAAAUGCGUAGAGAUGUGGAGGAACACCAGUGGCGAAGGCGACUCUCUGGUCUGUAACUGACGCUGAGGAGCGAAAGCGUGGGGAGCGAACAGGAUUAGAUACCCUGGUAGUCCACGCCGUAAACGAUGAGUGCUAAGUGUUAGGGGGUUUCCGCCCCUUAGUGCUGCAGCUAACGCAUUAAGCACUCCGCCUGGGGAGUACGGUCGCAAGACUGAAACUCAAAGGAAUUGACGGGGGCCCGCACAAGCGGUGGAGCAUGUGGUUUAAUUCGAAGCAACGCGAAGAACCUUACCAGGUCUUGACAUCCUCUGACAACCCUAGAGAUAGGGCUUUCCCUUCGGGGACAGAGUGACAGGUGGUGCAUGGUUGUCGUCAGCUCGUGUCGUGAGAUGUUGGGUUAAGUCCCGCAACGAGCGCAACCCUUGAUCUUAGUUGCCAGCAUUCAGUUGGGCACUCUAAGGUGACUGCCGGUGACAAACCGGAGGAAGGUGGGGAUGACGUCAAAUCAUCAUGCCCCUUAUGACCUGGGCUACACACGUGCUACAAUGGACAGAACAAAGGGCUGCAAGACCGCAAGGUUUAGCCAAUCCCAUAAAUCUGUUCUCAGUUCGGAUCGCAGUCUGCAACUCGACUGCGUGAAGCUGGAAUCGCUAGUAAUCGCGGAUCAGCAUGCCGCGGUGAAUA